ACGGGAGGCAGCAGUGGGGAAUAUUGCACAAUGGGGGAAACCCUGAUGCAGCGACGCCGCGUGAGUGAAGAAGUAUUUCGGUAUGUAAAGCUCUAUCAGUAGGGAAGAAAAUGACGGUACCUAACUAAGAAGCCCCGGCUAACUACGUGCCAGCAGCCGCGGUAAUACGUAGGGGGCAAGCGUUAUCCGGAUUUACUGGGUGUAAAGGGAGCGCAGACGGCAAAGCAAGUCUGAUGUGAAAUGCGGGGGCUCAACCCCUGAACUGCAUUGGAAACUGUUUAGCUAGAGUGCAGGAGAGGUAAGUGGAAUUCCUAGUGUAGCGGUGAAAUGCGUAGAUAUUAGGAGGAACACCGGUGGCGAAGGCGGCUUACUGGACCGUAACUGACGUUGAGGCUCGAAAGCGUGGGGAGCAAACAGGAUUAGAUACCCUGGUA
rnacentral:rRNA from 1 species